CUUCAACGGAGAGUUUGAUCCUGGCUCAGGAUGAACGCUGGCGGCGUGCUUAACACAUGCAAGUCGAACGAUGAUCCGGUGCUUGCACCGG
rnacentral:rRNA from 1 species